GAGAUAGAGGUUGCGUAUUUUAAGAGUAAUUUUUUGGAUGUGGCAGGCACAGAGGAAGGAAAAUGAAAGGAAAACACGCCGAAAGAAUUCGGAGGCACUGCAUAUGGAUUCUUGGGGAUACAGUUAAGAGCUGUAUGACUGUCAUCAGAUUCUGAUGGGGCGCUAUCCGAU
rnacentral:ncRNA from 1 species